GAAUUCGUAGAUAUCGGAGGAAUACCUGAGGCGAAGGCGACUUCUGGACCAAUACUGACGCUGAGGUGCGAAAGCGUGGGUAGCGAACAGGAUUAGAUACCCUGGUAGUCCACAGCCGUAAACGAUGUGCACUAGAUGUUGGAGGAGUUGACCCCUUCAGUGUCGCAGCUAACGCGAUAAGUGCACCGCCUGGGGAGUACGGUCGCAAGAUUAAAACUCAAAGGAAUAGACGGGGACCCGCACAAGCGGUGGAGCAUGUGGUUUAAUUCGACGAUACGCGAAGAACCUUACCUGGCCUUGACAUAGAAAGAAUUUAGCAGAGAUGUAAAAGUGCUAGUUUACUAGAGCUUUCAUACAGGUGCUGCACGGCUGUCGUCAGCUCGUGUCGUGAGAUGUUAGGUUAAGUCCUGCAACGAGCGCAACCCUCGUGUUUAGUUACUAACAGAUUAUGCUGAGGACUCUAGACAUACUGCCUGGGCAACCAGGAGGAAGGUGAGGACGACGUCAAGUCAUCAUGGCCCUUACGGCCAGGGCUACACACGUGCUACAAUGGGGUAUACAAAGAGCAGCGAUACCGCGAGGUGGAGCAAAUCUCAUAAAAUAUCUCCCAGUUCGGAUUACACUCUGCAACUCGAGUGUAUGAAGU
rnacentral:rRNA from 1 species